GACUCCGUGGGCGCAACGGAGGCGCGUCCGACUCCAGAUCGGAAGGUGCGUGUUCAAACAUGUCGGCGUCA
rfam:Ciona savignyi cont_23766, whole genome shotgun sequence.